rnacentral:rRNA from 1 species
AUUGAACGCUGGCGGCAUGCCUUACACAUGCAAGUCGAACGGCAGCACGGGAGCAAUCCUGGUGGCGAGUGGCGAACGGGUGAGUAAAGUAUCGGAACGUGCCCAGUCGUGGGGGAUAACGUAGCGAAAGUUACGCUAAUACCGCAUACGAUCUAUGGAUGAAAGCGGGGGAUCGCUAGACCUCGCGCGAUUGGAGCGGCCGAUAUCAGAUUAGGUAGUUGGUGGGGUAAAGGCUCACCAAGCCGACGAUCUGUAGCUGGUCUGAGAGGACGACCAGCCACACUGGGACUGAGACACGGCCCAGACUCCCACGGGAGGCAGCAGUGGGGAAUUUUGGACAAUGGGCGCAAGCCUGAUCCAGCCAUGCCGCGUGCAGGAUGAAGGCCUUCGGGUUGUAAACUGCUUUUGUACGGAACGAAAAGGUUUGACUUAAUACGUUGGACUCAUGACGGUACCGUAAGAAUAAGCACCGGCUAACUACGUGCCAGCCGCCGCAGUAA